rnacentral:lncRNA from 1 species
AAACAGCUAUGGAACUGCUCCCUUCCAUCGGCGAAGAAGGAAGAGAUAGUCGUGAGGCUUUCAAUGGGCUCCCAGAGUGGGAGAAAGGAGAGGAGCCAUGCAUUGAUGAGAUGGAUAAAUAUUGGUGUUGAUUAAGAUAUAGGUUGUGGAAGAAUUAUUUAACCGACAUCCUUGGUUAAACCUUAAAUUACAUUUAAGUUCACUAGUUAGGAUACAUUGGUGGAUAAUUAUUAAUGGUUCCCA